AUUGAACGCUGGCGGCAGGCCUAACACAUGCAAGUCGAGCGGAUGAAGGGAGCUUGCUCCUGGAUUCAGCGGCGGACGGGGGAGUAAUGCCUAGGAAUCUGCCUGGUAGUGGGGGAUAACGUCCGGAAACGGGCGCUAAUACUGCAUACGUCCUGAGGGAGAAAGUGGGGGAUCGUCGGACCGUACGCUAUCAGAUGAGCCUAGGUCGGAUUAGCUAGUUGGUGGGGUAAAGGCCUACCAAGGCGAAGAUCCGUAACUGGUCUGAGAGGAUGAUCAGUCACACUGGAAGUGAGACACGGUCCAGACUCCUACGGGAGGCAGCAGUGGGGAAUAUUGGACAAUGGGCGAAAGCCUGAUCCAGUCAUGCCGAGUGUGUGAAGAAGGUCUUCGGAUUGUAAAGAACUUUAAGUUGGGAGGAAGGGCAGUAAGUUAAUACCUUGCUGUUUUGACGUUAACAACAGAAUAAGCACCGGCUAACUUCGUG
rnacentral:rRNA from 1 species